rnacentral:rRNA from 1 species
GUUUUCCUACGGGGGGCAGCAGUGGGGAAUAUUGCACAAUGGGGGAAACCCUGAUGCAGCGACGCCGCGUGAGUGAAGAAGUAAUUCGUUAUGUAAAGCUCUAUCAGCAGGGAAGAAAAUGACGGUACCUGAGUAAGAAGCCCCGGCUAACUACGUGCCAGCAGCCGCGGUAAUACGUAGGGGCAAGCGUUAUCCGGAUUUACUGGGUGUAAAGGGAGCGUAGACGGCAGUGCAAGUCUGGAGUGAAAGGCGGGGGGUAAACCCCCGGGGUGC